rnacentral:rRNA from 1 species
UUCACCACUCAAGCCUCGCUUGGUAUUGGGCAACGCGGUCCGCCGCGUGCCUCAAAUCGUCCGGCUGGGUCUUCUGUCCCCUAAGCGUUGUGGAAACUAUUCGCUAAAGGGUGUUCGGGAGGCUACGCCGUAAAACAACCCCAUUUCUA